ensembl:snoRNA small nucleolar RNA SNORD53/SNORD92
GGGGAGUGAUGAUUCUGAGAAUGGUUUCGCAAAACACGACUGAUGUUUAGUGAUGUCAUGCUUCUCUUGGCUAUCUGACCCA